UGGGGAAUAUUGCACAAUGGGCGCAAGCCUGAUGCAGCGACGCCGCGUGAGGGAUGACGGCCUUCGGGUUGUAAACCUCUUUCAGCAGGGAAGAAGCGCAAGUGACGGUACCUGCAGAAGAAGCGCCGGCUAACUACGUGCCAGUAGCCGGGGUAAUACGUAGGGCGCAAGCGUAGUCCGGCAUUAUUGGGCGUAAAGAGCUCGUAGGCGGUUUGUCGCGUCUGCUGUGAAAACGCGAGGCUCAACCUCGCGCCUGCAGUGGGUACGGGCAGCCUAGAGUGCGGUAGGGGAGACUGGAAUUCCUGGUGUAGCGGUUGAGUGGGCAGAGAUCAGGAGGAACUCCGGUGGCGAAGGCGGGUCGAUGGGCCGUAACUGACGCUGAGGAGCGAA
rnacentral:rRNA from 1 species